GGAUUGCAUUGGUACCAUAGAUGGUACUCACAUUUAUGCGAUAGUCCCACAGAAAGAUCAAAUCCGAUAUAGAAAUCGAAAGGGGAUCACUACACAAAAUGUAAUGUGUGUAUGUAGUUUUGACAUGCGAUUCACAUUUGUAUAUAUGGGAUGGGAAGGAAGUGCAAAUGAUUGCAGAGUCUUUGAAGCAGCAAUGAGCAAUUCAGAUUUAAAUUUUCCUCAUCCACCUCCAGAGAAGUAUUAUGUUGUCGAUUCCGGGUAUGCAAGUCAAACCGGAUAUCUAACACCAUUUAGAGGUGAGAGGUACCAUCUACCAGACUACAAGGGGUAUAGGAGAAGAUCAAUAACAGCAAAGGAAUUAUUCAAUUAUAGGCAUUCAUCUUUUAGGAAUGUAAUUGAACGUACAUUUGGAGUUUU